rnacentral:rRNA from 1 species
UAACUCAGAGAAAUUUGAGCUAAUACCGGAUAAUGUCUUCGGACCAAAGAUUUAUCGCCCAAGGAUGAGCCCGCGUAGGAUUAGCUAGUUGGUGAGGUAAAGGCUCACCAAGGCGACGAUCCUUAGCUGGUCUGAGAGGAUGAUCAGCCACACUGGGACUGAGACACGGCCCAGACUCCUACGGGAGGCAGCAGUGGGAAUAUUGGACAAUGGGCGAAAGCCUGAUCCAGCAAUGCCGCGUGAGUGAUGAAGGCCUUAGGGUUGUAAAGCUCUUUUGCCCGGGAUGAUAAUGACAGUACCGGGAGAAUAAGCUCCGGCUAACUCCGUG